ACUUAUUCUGAAAGCACAAUUGGAAAGAUUGAUUUGCUUUAUAGACUGCUGCAUAUAAAGCAAUUGUUUUCAGCAGCGGAUGAAUGACAACCAAAAAGAUGGAAGUGAUCUGCGAGACAAGCAAAAAGAUGAAGUGGUCUGCCAGUGACAUGGUCUGCUCAUUAUUUUCUUUCUGUAGCUCGGGCGGUGUGUUAUACGCGGUCGGCUGUAACGCAUGGGGUUUAGCUUAACAUACCCAGGGGAAACGAGUGUAGAACAAUAUAUUUUUGACUAGCUAUGUCAACAACAUUUAUAUUAAUGGUAAUGUUAAUUCCAAACAUAA